ensembl:lncRNA
ACCUCAGUUUUACCCGCACGUCUGCUGGUGCCGGGCUUCUCGCUGCACGUCCGCGGGCAAACACAAAGGUGGCAGCAGCCUAAAGACACACCCAGUUAGUCUGGGAAGAUGCAAGAUGCAUACUGUUAGUGGCUGUUGUUUGAAUCAACCCUGCUUUUCAUUGUUUCUCCUGGGAUCGCUGCUCGGGUGCCAGGCGUGUAUCUACCUGGCUAACCUGGAUUGGCGCGGUGCUGAAGGGAAGACACGGCAGCCGAGGGCAGCAGAGACAAGGGAUCUUCCAUGAACUCCAGCACCGACACUGUCACUGCUUCUUGUAAAUCCCGGGCUUCAGUAGGAUCACAAAAUCACAGAACAUGCUGAGCUGGAAGGGACCCACAAGGAUCACUGAAUGCAGCUCCUGGACCUUCACAGUUCCAUCCACCAUGUGCCUGACAGUAUUGUCCAAAUGAUGGUGACCUUAGUGUCACAGGUGCCUUCUGCCAUCCCUGUGAAGGGUGGGAAGAGAUGAACUGACACUUUGUUCCAUAACAAAACGGGCUCCUAUUUCUACUUGGCAUGGAAGAUCUGUGACAAAAUUUGCAUCUGCUUUUUCACCUAAGCCUUUUUUUCAUUCCCAUUCUUUUUUUUUUUUUAAAGUCGCCUGAGAGCACUGCCCUGAAGGUUUCUAGUAGUGCUCAGAAAGAAUCUCAACAAAAGAAACUUGCCCAUGCUACAGCUUCUGGCCUCCUCUUGUAGCCUUCAGCUCCUCUGACUUCACAUUCGCUUUGUUGGAGUGCAUGUUACUAGUAAUAGUCUUUGGAUGUAAGGGUUUUUGUAGGACUCAGAAAGGGAAGGGUGAGAAUAUGCAUGAGUUCAAGAUUUUUCCUCAUGUUGGUGGAAGCGUAUAAACUGGCAAUUAAUGAAAAUAAAUGAUGGUUGAUUAAAAAAAAAAGAAUUAUUGUAAAGUGCAGGUAAGCAAAUUCUGCCUUCCCCGCUUGAUCUAUGAAAUUACCUUUUCCAAAGAAAGCCAUGUCCUUAUGCUGCCAAAUAUACUGCAUCAUUUCAACUGAUGUACUUGUACAGUAAAGUCUUUCUUUUCAUAUGCCCAUUCUUUUGCUAAGUUCUAUUUUUCAUGGUCACCUUAUUCCAAAGUAUAAAGAAGGGGAGAGACUUUAAAAAAGAAAUACCUGAGAUAACAAGAUACAAUGUGGUCUUUUAGUCUGUAAAUUCACUCAGUCAACACCUUCUGUUCCUCCUUUUGCUUCUUUAUCUGCACACUGAACAAGUCAGCCAAAGCAGUUUGAAAAGUCAAAGUACAGAGUGAUACUGAAAUAUGAUUUAGCAUUCUUGAAAUGUUUAGCUGUUUCUAAUACAACAGGACAUGGACUAUACUUGUGAAAGAUCAAUGUAAAAUGUCACCAAGGUAACCUUUGGAAGACCCAAAUAACAAGCCUGCUAUAAUGAAGAUAUAUUUCCUUGAAGCAUUAUUAACAGUUUUUUAUUUGACAUGACAAGAGCACUUCUGAAUUAUUUCUAAAUGAGCUGAAAAAGAAAAAUCCACAUGAGGAAAAGUAAUUUAACUUAACCUACUUUUACUCUUUUCUUUAAAGAAAUAAUGGUGGAGAUAGGGCCAAUUUUAAAGCUUAAAAUGAACAUUUUCACGUGUUUAUAAUCUGCCCGGUAGUUUGAUAUUUUCAAUGCUUUAUUUAGUCCCUAUGCUUUUGAUUGAUUUUUUCUUUUCAGAAUUCACAAAAGAUUUUUAGGCAUCUCUUAGGUUAUUUAGACCCUGAACAUGAAUUUCCAUUAUUAAAACAUUUUGGGAUUUGAAUUUCCUUUUCUUCCUUGCUUGGAUAGCUCCAGAAUGACUUUAGCUGUAAACUUGGUGUGCAGUGGCUUUGGAACAGAAUGUCAUUUUUCUGAGCAUGCAAAAAAAAAAAUUCUCUCUGAAACAGCGAAGCCCUCCAUGCUCUUCCCCACAUGACAUGUAUUCACAAAAGAGUACUUUAGUUUAGAGUGGCAGCCCUGGUUUCAUGGGAAAUAACCAUGAAUGGCCUUUGCUAUCCUCCGAGUGAGGAUCUGACUGAUGGCUCUUAGAAAAAUAAGUCUAGAAAGGACUGUAGUUCUGGAAGCAGUUAUGUGUCUUCCCAUAUUUUCUUCAUCUCUUCUCAAGCUGAGACGAAUUAUUGUGGACAGACAAUAGCCCUGUCUACAAUUAUAAAAUGAAGGAUAUUUGGCAUGAGGUAGAGGUCAGAGGUGGGCUUACGAGUCAAGGACUAGGAGUGGUGAGCAGCAGAUGGUGUGGGAAAGAAUUUGAGAAACCAAAUUGAUCUCUGUGAAUUGUCUUUGUGGUGUGAAAUCCCAUCCUUUCAGUCCUUCCUUUGCUUCCAAGCUCUGAGUGGCUUGGAAACCAGUUCAGAAAUAAAGUAUACAAGUUCCCCAUCCCUUCUUCCCACUCAGUCCAUCCUAAUUAAUUUAUAAGAAAGGCUACACAAACCAAUCUGAAAAUGAGAAGGGAAAAAUAAUGCUUUUGUUUUCCCCACAGCCUCAUUGCCAGAGAUUUUCUCCCAUUUCUUAGAACACCACCCAACAUUCAAUUCGCAAAGUUGUUCACAAUGAGCUUUCUUCAGGCUUCCCUUAAUAUUGUUUCACUGUGUAUAAAUAUUGCUGUGAAAAAAGACUCAAUGAUGGAGACUGACUGCUCAGGCCAGUGUCUGGCUCCUUCCUCCAGGAGGCAGGACCUGGACCUGCCCAUGGUCCAGGCAAGAUUUAUUCACAGAGUCUGAAAGAUAUCAAGAGGUAAAACUGUCAAUCUAGCCUAGUCCAGCAGCUGGUCACAGCAGUUCCUCAGAUAUGGGUAGAGGAGGAUUUAGAUAUCUAAGGUAGAGAAACUACCACAGCCUGAUCUACCCCACCUCCAGUGAAUUCUCUUCAACGAGCUGAAAAUAACAACUCUUUCCCUCUGAUAAUUCUGUGAUUUUUUUUCCCUUAUCGAACCUACCUAAUACCUAAUAUUUAAAUUGUUUUCCCAGUUAACAUGAAUUUUUGAUUUUUGUCUUUCACUCAUUUUUAGAUAUAAGAUUUAUUAUUAAAAAUCUAGUAAUAUAAAUGUUCCCACUCUCUUUUAUUAGUAAAAUUGAGCAUGUAGUUUAUGCUAAUUUAAAGCAAUUACUUCCUCUUGUUGAUUAUUCAGGCUGCUGUCACUGUUACAUAAAUAAUUAAAAAUGUGGGUUUAUAUU